CCAUACACACUGUGAUCUCGGCUAGCCGUCACGUGGACGAGAUUUUCCUUUCUGACUACGCACCACAAAACCUAGAAUAUUUGCAAAGAUGGCUUAAAAAGGAUAUAUCUGAACCAACAAAAAUAAUGGAUUACGUCAUCAGCCUCGAAGGUUGCAAGAUGACGGCUGAACAAAGAGAAAACGAAGUAAGAGAAAAGGUGAGAGGAAUUCUUCCGAUAGACGUUAGGAAAAGGAUAUAUCUGAACCAACAAAGAUGAUGGAUUACGUCGUCAGCCUCGAAGGUUGCAAGAUGACUGCUGAACAAAGGGAAAACGAAAUAAGAGAAAAGGUGAGAGGAAUUCUUCCGAUAGUCGUUACGUCAUAAAAACCCCUCGGAAGUGCCUAUGACGGGGGUAAAUUUGAUGUCAUAAUUUCGAGUUAUUGUAUUGAGGCAGCGGUGCUUGACGUUACUGGGUACAGGAGGUGUAUCGAGCAUGUAUCUUCUCUUCUGAAUAAAGGCGGGGUUUUCAUCAAUAUUGGCGACUUGGAGGGAAAAUAUUAUCAAGUAGGAUCGUAUAAGUUCCCAGGAGUGUCACUGAAUACACAGGAAGUAAAAUCAACACUUGCUCAAAUCGGAUAUGACAUCAAAUUUUACUCGGAAUUCCCUCUAACUGUUGAAGAGGCACGAUACGCUGACUCAAAUGGGUACUUCGUCGUUGUCGCGACAAAAUAAUUCUUUUCAGAACAUUUUGUUUUUAUAUGUUCUAAAUCAUUUAUUAUACUUUUCUUAAACAGAUAUUUAUAUUUUGUUGUCACUAAAACUAUCAAAAACUUAUAGUUAUAUCUUUUUGUCAGUGUGCGUGUGCAUACAUCGUGCGCAUACCGUAUACUUUUUUAUCAUCACAAUAAUUCAGAUGAUGUUCAAUUUUGCAAUGCGUGUUAAACACUAUGACAAUGACAUCUAAAUUGUCAGGUGACCGGAGUUUUACCGGGCCUGAGCUGAUAUGUUUUGGUCUAUACCUAUAGCUCCCCUUUACCUAGGUUUCACACCUCGGCGAGUAACGUAAGUGGCCCGAGUAUUGUCUGCAAAGAAGCACUUAGAAAGCAUGUCUGUCCAAUGCUAACCUUCGAUCAACCGUUAUAUUGGAAAGCAAAGAUCAUAAUAGAGAACGCACCCACUGGCAGUCGGCUCAAGUCAAUUAUAUUGCGACUAGGUGGUUUUCAUGCUGAGAUGAGCUUCAUUGGAAGCAUAGGUCGCCUGAUGGUCGGAUCAGGAUUUUUAGAACUCCUAGAAACAGUAUAUGCCCCGACAGCAGUAUCAAACAUGCUUAUCGGAAAAGCAUUCAGAAGAUGCAACCACGGAAAAAGAGUAUCAGAGGCAAUGAAUCUUUUCGAUUCUCUUUUGAAAAAUAUAGUGUCCAUCUAGGAGGUUUUUGCCAGUCCCGUCAUCGAUGUCAUCAGUUCAAAAAUAGACGAGUUCAGGACAUCACAUAAAGGUUUCAGAACGUCAAAACUAUGGUUCCAGUUCAUGGACAUGGUGGAAAUCCUUAGAAAUUUCAUCAGAGCUGAACGAACAGGGGACUGGGAGCUGCACUUACAAUCAUUGAAAGAGAUGUUGCCUUAUCUCGCGGCUGCUGGCCACAACCUGUUCGCUAAAUCAGGCAGAAUAUAUCUACAAGAUAUGAAUGCUCUCCUAGGAACACACCCGGAAGUAUACUCUUUCAUACAACUUGGAUACCAUGUCAUCAGAAGAUCUGAUAAGUUUUGGUGUGGUCUUUCGUCAGAUUUAGCGAUAGAACAGAUCCUUAUGAGAAGCAUCAAACCGUCUGGUGGUUUAACAAGAGGCAGAGGCAUGACAGAUAGUCAGAGGUCGGAAUGGAUAUUGGAGAUGCCAGAUUGUGCGACCUUAACCUAGCUGUCCAGGAGUUAACAUCGCAAAAUUUCCAAACCAGUGAUCAGCACAAGCGCGACUGCACAGACAUAUAACGUCACUAGCUUUCACAUCUGCCCAUGGCCCAUUCAUCGAGGAAUUAAACCUUAGAAAUAUUGGAACUGGUGUAACAACGGACUCCAAGGCAAAUGUAGAACAUCGCCAAGGAAGUUGAAAUUGGAAUUCUAGACUCAGUGAACAGUGUUGGUGUGGCUGAUUUCAUUUUUAAAAUAAAGAAGUUUAACAUA